ensembl:piRNA 21ur-1256 ncRNA
UUGGUAUCUGAUCGGUUGAAA